AACGAACGCUGGCGGCAUGCCUAACACAUGCAAGUCGAACGAGACCUUCGGGUCUAGUGGCGCACGGGUUCGUAACGCGUGGGAACCUGCCCUUAGGUUCGGAAUAACUCCCCGACAGGGGUGCUAAUACCGGAUAAUGUCUUCGGACCAAAGAUUUAUCGCCUUUGGAUGUGCCCGCGUUGGAUUAGCUAGUUGGUAGGGUAAAAGCCUACCAAGGCGACGAUCCAUAGCUUGUCUGAGAGGAUGAUCAGCCACACUGGGACUGAGACACGGCCCAGACUCCUACGGGAGGCAGCAGUGGGGAAUGUUGGACAGUGGGCGAAAGCCUGAUCCAGCAAUGCCGCGUGAGUGAUGAAGGCCUUAGGGUUGUAAAGCUCUUUUACCCGGGAUGAUAAUGACAGUACCGGGAGAAUAAGCUCCGGCUAACUCCGUG
rnacentral:rRNA from 1 species